UAUGGGUCCCGAGGUGAUGAAACAAAUAGGGCAAGACAUUCCAUUUGAGAGGGUCAUCCAAUUUAUGUUUGAAGCUGGGAAGCAUCACAAUUAUGAUCAGAAGGAGUAAAGUAUCCCUCGCCAUGAAAUUCACACGACAAAGCUGAGUGGCAUGAUUUCCCUGAAAACAGGAAGCCAGAGUUGCCAGACUUGAAGCAAAGAUCCUUGGCCCACACCAUGUUCCCCGGCUGGAGCAGUUUCACCUCCUCCUGAAGAAGCUGUUCCACAGGCCGCGCCAGCUGUCCUGGAGCGCUUGGAGGGCUGCUGGGCUGGAAAGGGGGUGCGUUCAUGAAUCAGCUGCGAACCAUUAGCAAAUCAGUUCACCCCCACCCCCACUGUGAGCUUCAAGUCUUUAUUUGUGCAAAGAGGGGAGUGGAACAGUUUAGUCAAUGACUGUUCUCCUUCACCAGAGACUACAGCACAACUGGACACUUCUUCAUCUGAACCCAAAUGCAAAUGCUCUAAGUUGAGAUGGAGUAUCAUCACUACUGUUACCUUUUAAAAGCAUUACAAAUUCAUUAUUAAUUUCAUUUUGCUUUUGUUUUAACAUUUCUGUAUCUCCCUUGUCUCAAGGUCACUUGGGAAUAAAACCAUUUAUAAAACUG